GACUUACAUUCAGUAGCAAGCUUAACCGAUAGGGGAGGCGUAGCGAAAGCGAGUCCGAAUAGGGCGAUUUAGUUACUGGGUGUAGACCCGAAACCAAGUGAUCUAUCCAUGGCCAGGAUGAAGGUGCCGUAACAGGUACUGGAGGUCCGAACCCACAAAUGUUGAAAAAUUUGGGGAUGAGCUGUGGAUAGGGGUGAAAGGCUAAUCAAACUUGGAGAUAGCUGGUUCUCUCCGAAAACUAUUUAGGUAGUACCUCGUAUCUUACUCUCGGGGGUAGAGCACUGUUAUGGCUAGGGGGAUCAUACGAUCUUACCAAACCAUUGCAAACUCCGAAUACCGAGAAGUACAAUUACGGGAGACAGACAGCGGGUGCUAACGUCCGUUGUCAAGAGGGAAACAACCCAGACCACCAGCUAAGGUCCCAAAUGAUAUGCUAAGUGGUAAACGAAGUGAGAAGGCCCAGACAGCCAGGAGGUUGGCUUAGAAGCAGCCAUCCUUUAAAGAAAGCGUAAUAGCUCACUGGUCGAGUCGUCUCGCGCGGAAGAUGUAACGGGGCUAAGCAUAUAACCGAAGCUGCGGAUGCAUAUUUAUAUGCAUGGUAGGAGAGCGUUCUGUAAGUCUGUGAAGGUGUUCUGUGAGGAAUGCUGGAGGUAUCAGAAGUGCGAAUGCUGACAUGAGUAGCGAUAGAGGGUGUGAAAGGCACCCUCGCCGAAAGCCCAAGGUUUCCUGCGCAACGUUCAUCGGCGCAGGGUGAGUCGGCCCCUAAGGUGAGGCAGAAAUGCGUAGCUAAUGGGAAACAGGUUAAUAUUCCUGUACCUUAAUUUAAUGCGAUGUGGGGACGGAGAAGGUUAGAUCAGCACGAGAUUGGUUGUUCGUGUUUAAGCGUGUAGGCUGAGUUCCUAGGAAAAUCCGGGGAUUCAUUAAGGCUGAGGCGUGAUGACGAGCCCCUUUUGGGGUGAAGUGAUUGAUACCCUGCUUCCAGGAAAAGUCUCUAAGCUUCAGGUAACAAGUGACCGUACCCCAAACCGACACAGGUGGAUAGGAUGAGAAUUCCAAGGCGCUUGAGAGAACUCUGGUGAAGGAACUAGGCAAAAUAGCACCGUAACUUCGGGAGAAGGUGUGCCUUACUGGUGAUGUGAUUUACUCACUAAGCUAAGUAAGGUUGCAGUGAAAUGGUGGCUGCGACUGUUUAUUAAAAACACAGCACUCUGCAAACUCGCAAGAGGACGUAUAGGGUGUGACGCCUGCCCGGUGCCGGAAGGUUAAUUGAUGGGGUUAUCUUCGGAGAAGCUCUUGAUCGAAGCCCCGGUAAACGGCGGCCGUAACUAUAACGGUCCUAAGGUAGCGAAAUUCCUUGUCGGGUAAGUUCCGACCUGCACGAAUGGCGUAACGAUGGCCACACUGUCUCCACCAUAGACUCAGUGAAAUUGAAAUCGCUGUUAAGAUGCAGUGUACCCGCAGCUAGACGGAAAGACCCCGUGCACCUUUACUAUAGGUUUACACUGGACUUUGACCUUACUUGUGUAGGAUAGGUGGGAGACUUUGAAGCUGAGACGCCAGUCUUAGUGGAGUCAUCCUUGAAAUAC
rnacentral:rRNA from 1 species